GCUUACACCAUUGUCUGUGCCAUAGUAC
rnacentral:piRNA from 1 species